rnacentral:rRNA from 1 species
GACGAACGCUGGCGGCGUGCCUAAUACAUGCAAGUAGAACGCUGAAGAGAGGAGCUUGCUCUUCUUGGAUGAGUUGCGCACGGGUGAGUAACGCGUAGGUAACCUGCCUGGUAGCGGGGGAUAACUAUUGGAAACGAUAGCUAAUACCGCAUAAAAUUGAUUAUUGCAUGAUAAUUAAUUGAAAGAUGCAACUGCAUCACUACCAGAUGGACCUGCGUUGUAUUAGCUAGUUGGUGAGGUAACGGCUCACCAAGGCGACGAUACAUAGCCGACCUGAGAGGGUGAUCGGCCACGCUGGGACUGAGACACGGCCCAGACUCCUACGGGAGGCAGCAGUAGGGAGUCUUCGGCAAUGGGGGGAACCCUGACCGAGCAACGCCGCCUGAGUGAAGAAGGUUUUCGGAUCGUAAAGCUCUGUUGUAAGAGAAGAACGGGUGUGAGAGUGGAAAGUUCACACUGUGACGGUAUCUUACCAGAAAGGGACGGCUAACUACGUG